rnacentral:lncRNA from 1 species
UCCAAACAUAGACAAACACAAACACAAAAAUACUUAAAAACCAAAACACAAUCGGAACGAAAAAACUUUCAAAAAUUGAAAACACAAACAUAAAUAAUUAAACCCAAACAUAGACAAACACAAACACAAAAAUGCUUAAAAACCAAAACACAAUCCGAACGAAAAAACUUUCAAAAAUUGAAAACACAAACAUAAAUAAUUUUUGAAACACAAACAUAAAUAUUCAAAUCCAAACAUAGACAAACACAAACACAAAAAUGCUCAAAAA